UCUGCCGGCGCCGGACGGACGGGCCGAGCCCGGAGCGCCGCCAUGGGCCCGGGGCCCCCGGCGGCCGGAGCGGGGGCGCCCCCGCGGCCGCUGUCCCUGGUCGCGCGGCUGAGCUACGCCGUGGGCCACUUCCUCAACGACCUCUGCGCGUCCAUGUGGUUCACCUACCUGCUGCUCUACCUGCACUCGGUGCGCGCCUACAGCUCGCGCGGCGCCGGCCUGCUGCUGCUGCUCGGUCAGGUGGCCGACGGGCUGUGCACGCCCCUCGUGGGCUUCGAGGCUGACCGCGCCGCAGGCCGCUGCGCCCGCUUCGGCCCGCGCAAGGCCUGGCACCUGGUCGGCACCAUCUGCGUCCUGCUGUCCUUCCCCUUCAUCUUCAGCCCCUGCCUGGGCUGCCAGGCCAGCACGCCUGAGUGGGUUGCCCUCCUUUACUACGGGCCCUUCAUCGUGAUCUUCCAGUUCGGCUGGGCUGCUACACAGAUUGCCCACCUCAGCCUCAUCCCGGAGCUCGUCACCAACGACCAUGAGAAGGUGGAGCUCACGGCUCUCAGGUACGCCUUCACCGUGGUGGCCAGCAUCACCGUCUAUGGGGCUGCCUGGCUUCUACUCCACCUGCAGGGCUCUCCCCACAUGGGGUCCACCCAGGAUGUCUAUGACCAGCUGGGGGUCCAAGAUGUGCCGGUGUUCCGGAACCUCUCGCUGUUGGUGGUGGGCAUUGGAGCUGUCUUCUCACUGCUGUUCCACCUGGGCACCGGGGAGGGGCGCCGGCGGCAGGUGGAGGAGCCAGAUGAACACAGCCCCCUGUUGGCCCCUGCUACUGCCCGGCCCUUGCUGCUCUGGAAACACUGGCUUCGGGAGCCGGCCUUUUAUCAGGUGGGCUUGCUGUACAUGAGCACGAGGCUCAUUGUGAACCUGUCCCAGACAUACAUGGCCAUGUACCUGACCUACUCCCUCAACCUGCCUAAGAAGUUCAUCGCCACCAUCCCGCUGGUGAUGUACCUCAGCAGCUUCCUCUCCUCCUUCCUCCUGAAGCCGGUCAACAAGUGCAUCGGGAGGAAUAUGACCUACUUUGUGGGCCUCCUGGUGAUCCUGGCCUUCGCAGCCUGGGUGGCACUGGCAGAUGAGCUGGGUGUGGCUGUGUACGUGGUGGCUGUGCUGCUGGGCACAGGCUGUGCCACCAUCCUCGUCACUUCGCUGGCCAUGACGGCUGACCUCAUCGGCCCCCACACGGUAGGGCUGCCGAGCCGGUCCGGGUUGGGGUUGGGGACCAGGGCCGAGGCCUGGGAUGCUGACCCCCCCUGCCCGUGUCCCCCCAGCACAGCGGAGCCUUCGUGUAUGGCGCCAUGAGCUUCUCGGACAAGGUGGCCAAUGGGCUGGCAGUCAUGGCCAUCCAGAGCCUGCACCCCUGCUCGUGAGUACCCCUAUCCAUUCGUUCUCGCGUUCAAUGAGCUGUGCUGAGGCCGUGCUGUGCGCCAGGCGCUGCCCCAGGUCUGCUAACUCCAUGAGAACAGGAGACCCCGCCCCGGUGGCCUCACAGCCAGGGAGACCGGGUUAUUCCCCACCUCGAGCACCCAUUUAUUUACUGAGCCGACAGUCUGUCCUGGGCCGGGUGCUGAGGACACACAGAUGGAUCAGGGGAAUGUGAGCAGACAGGGCAGAGGGAGAGCCUGGAAUCCCUGUAAUUCAGACCCUCAGAACCUAGGGUUCCAGCCCCAGAAGGUUCUAGACCUGAGCUUGCACCCUGUAGAAGCCCAGGAUUUGGGAAUGAAAGCUGGCCUGGUCCUCUGUCCUCAUGGAGCUGGGGACAACACGAGCCACAUGAAUAAUCUCAUGAAUAAAUGUGUACAAAGGGUGUGAAGGACACUACUUAGGGAGGCCUGAGUGGGGCGAGAAGUCAGGAAGGGCUGCCUUGAGGUGACAUGGGACCCGAGACCUGGAGGAUGUCAGGGAGUUCUAGGCAUAUGGGGAGGAACAGCCUUGUGCAAAGACCCCGGGGCAGGACUGUGCCUGGCAUGGUGGAAGGACAGCAACGAGGCCCUUGUGGCUGGAGCAGAGUGAGCGAGGGGGAGAGAGGGAGGAGGGGAGGGCAGGGAGGGGACGGGUCGUGCAGGGCCUUGGGGAGCAGUUG